UUCUGAAAUUGAAUGUUCUCAAUACAUGCACUAUUCUUACGAUGACAUUUUAUCAGAACCUAAAUGAUGCAAAUGUAAAGUAUGUAUGCAAUGAUGCAGUUGAGACAACUCUUAAAAGUGAACAGUAAGCUUUUUUUGCCUCACUUAAUACAAACUUUACCAAGUUUAAUAUUUACCAGUUUAGCUGUUUCAUGUCAUUACAACAUAAAUAUUUUUAAAAUAGAAUAAAUGUCUUAAAAGCUAUGAUUAGGAACCAUAAAAGGGAAACCUAAGUAAUAUUAUGCCCUUUUUUUUGUUUGUUUCCAUUACCACUGUAUAGGUGAUAGAAGCAGAUAGAACAUAAUUCCUUUUUACCUCUGCUCUCAUGGAAGCAUUUUGUCUCAGAGCUUGACAUGAUGCUUCUGAAAUGUGUUCCAUUUUUUUUACCAUCUCAGUGUGAAUAACAUACAUUUCUUGUCUGCUGUGAACUGUUAAAAAUCUGCAUGUUUCACACCAUCUUCUAGUCUUUCAUGGCCUCAAGACAGUCUUGCCCAUUUAACCUUCCUGGAUCAUGCUGUAGUAGUAUUCCAGGAGUAUUUAUUUCAUUUCACUAUACCUGUAAGUACAUGACCACUAUGCUAACUAACUUUAUCUAGUAAAAUAAAGAAAGCAUGACAUUUACAAUAUUUUGAAUUCUGAUAUUAAACAUCAAUGUUACAAACAACGUGGUUUUACAGUCCCUUAACUUGUAUCACAAGUGUGAAUUUUAAGAAAAAUAGUUGAAAUAUUCAAAUAUUCAAAGACAAUGGAAAAAAAACUAAAACCAACUUCACUGAAGGUUGUAUCUGAAGAAAGAUAAAAUGGAAAUCUGUAAUGAGACAUAGAAGAGAGGGUGCUGUCUUCAAUAUUUUCAAAUUUUAUCUCCAUGUGGUACAGCCAAGAAGUCACACUGGGCAUAAUCUACUUCUAAUAUCAAUAUGAUAGCGUUUUGAAUAUUUUCAUUUUUAGUUUUCCUCUUUGAGAGAUAUUUUCUGCCUUACAGCCUGAGUAAGUAAACUCAUGUAUACUUGAGCAAUGCUUACUUUCAAGAUCUGUGGCAUUCAGCCUUACAAGGGAAUGAAAGCAUAUCUAUAAAACAAUACCAAUACAUUUUUAACAUACUGAAUGUUGACUGAACAUUUACUAAUACUGAUCAUUUAACUAGAUCAAGAAUACUCUUAAAAUGGAAACAAAAGGAAAAUCUUAAAUAUUUGAUUUGCUGUUUUGGUACCAAUGGCAAAGCUCCUAGAGAAUUAAUUAUUUUGAAUUUGCUGUUGCAUUUGUUACUUCUUGUAAAGUAUACUUUGCUGGAGCGUUCCACCUGCCUAACACUCAGCAACACGGUAACUGCAGCAGUGCCCAACUCUUACACUACUCCUUUCUAAAUACAGCCAUUAUACGCUUCAGGGCAGAAGCUCGGGCGGAGCUGUAGUAGAAAGCAGAUGCUUCCAUCUCACCCAGCGCAUCAAGAAGACAUCAUCUGGCAUUCAGAAAAAGAAUUACUCUGCUGAAAGAACGGCUUGGAAGUUACAGCAUGUUGCUGUACUUAGCACACAGUAUUUUGAACUGAGCACGAUAAGAUUUGGCCAGCGUUUUCAGUAUAAAUCUGCGUGUCAGAAUUGGCAUUUGCAGGAUUUUUUGAAGCGUUUAUGAAAGCACGUAUUAGACCCUCCGCGCACAGCGGUGCUCGUGUUGGCGGGCAGACCUCGGAGCUGUGAGCGCGCCCUGUGCGCUGGCGCUGCCCCGCUCUCCAGCACGUCUGCAGCCCGCCAGCCCCGCGCCUUCCUGCUCCUCAGCUGCGCGCGGGAGCGGCUCACGGCUUUGGCUGCCGCUCAGCCCGAGAGGCGGUAACAAGAAGGUUAACGUCAGAACCCGGCUGUCUCUUGCUGCCUAAGCUCGGUUUGCAUGCGGAGCUACCACAACUACGGCACCUGUACGUGCACGUGGCUCAGCGGGAAGGCCUCCCGGGCUCCGGCCGUUUAACCUGAGGAGAACUUUCUUAAGAGUGGAGACAAAUGGUGUGAGGGGUGAAAUGGCCGAUGGCUUUCUGAAGCCUAGCAAGGAUCUGAAUGGAUCUUUGUUUCUGGCUCUGAGAACUGCUGUAGAAAUCGAGAUGUUAAUGAUGAUCAAUUGAAGAUUUUCAAGUGGAUUUCAGAGGAGAACGCUGAAAGUCUGAAAUGGAAUCUCAGUGUGGAGUCUCAUUUCUUCAGAAGCAGG